CGGUCGACGCUCUCUCCCAUUGAAGCUUAUGACGCUGUUUGCUCUUCUCAGUAGCUCACAACUUUUCUUCCCUCCUUCUCCAGCUUGCAGUGGUCUCUCCGUUCUUCUCCACCUACGCAGAGUAACAAGGCUUCUCUGAAGUAGCCAAAAGUGUUUUUAAGCUGCUUCAGCAUUGAAGCUCGAAGAAAUCUGGGAAGGGAAAUGGGCCUGGAAAAGGAGGUAAUGGCUUUUGGAAGUCUAUUGGACUUGGAUUCAAGACACCCAGGGAAUCUAUUAUUAAAGUUGCAAAUCUGUUUUGGUGACGGAGCAAAUGUUGAGUGAAUGAGAUUAUUGUUUCUAGACAAUAAACAUAUCUACUUACUCUAGCCAUGAGAAUGUGAAUAGGAAAGAGCACAUUACUCAGCCACCUGAAGGAGUUUAAUAUCCCAAGAAGGUACUUCAGUUUUCUCUUUGCAUCUCAUGUUAUUUACUUUCCAAUUCAGAUUUAUUGAAUUAAGACAUGUUUGA